AUAAUACCCUCUAGUUCCAUCCAUGAAGUUGCAAGGGAGGAACUUUUUAAUUUAUUGCCAGCCUUAUUUAUGCUUUGGCAGGAAAUAAUGCAGCUUGAUAUUUAAAGUAGAUUGUGAAUUAAGAAUAUAUGAUUUAUUUUUAUAAAUUAUACCAAUUAUAAUUAUACAAAUGUACCCAUGAUUCAUUAUGUUAUUUUAGAAAAGUCACUCAAGAGCAAAAUAUUUUAAAUAGGUUAAACUUAGAGCAUAACAUGGACCCAUUUAUAGAAAAUUGAAAAUUGGGCACAAAUUAGGCCUUUGGGAAAGAAUCAUAACAGUAACAGUAGCAGCCAGAGUCACAACCCCAUACUGUUUGUCAUGUGCCAGGUACUAUUCCAAGCCUCCCACAUAUCCAGCUCCUUUAACUGGGUGGGUACCAGAGUCCCAGGAAGGUCACGUCACCUAGACCUGGUCAUUGCUAGAGCCAGGCUAGGGCCAGGUAUCAUGCUCCAGAGAUCAGAUUUUUAAUGACUGUGCACACCACCUACAUCACACAUUGCCUGUUUCUCACGUCAGACCCGUGACAUAGCUAUUUUUAUCUAUAUUUUGCAGAUGAGCAGGCUGAAGUUUUCUAACAUUCUGUAGCUUAUUCAGUCAUCCAAUGAGGAAGCAACUGCACUGGUGUUAGAACCUAAAGCUCUAACUUCAGAUAGUCUUUUUCCACCACGUCCCUUUGGAAGGAAUCAGGCCCAGCACCUUCCAUAUGGGAAGGACAGCAAAGGAGCAUACUGAAGUUCAGCUUGCAUACGGCUCCAUGCCCAACGUGGGGCUUGAACUCAUGACCCAGAGAUCAGGAGUCACGUGUUCUACCAACUGAGCCAGCCAGGCGACCCUGCAGACUACAUUUUCUGAAUGAAGAGCAGUAAAAAUAGAAACCAAUAAAAAUAGAAAUAAACAAAA